AAGUCGAACGAGUUCUCGUUGAUGAUCGGUGCUUGCACCGAGAUUCAACAUGGAACGAGUGGCGGACGGGUGAGUAACACGUGGGUAACCUGCCCUUAAGUGGGGGAUAACAUUUGGAAACAGAUGCUAAUACCGCAUAGAUCCAAGAACCGCAUGGUUCUUGGCUGAAAGAUGGCGUACGCUAUCGCUUUUGGAUGGACCCGCGGCGUAUUAGCUAGUUGGUGAGGUAAUGGCUCACCAAGGCGAUGAUACGUAGCCCAACUGAGAGGUUGAUCGGCCACAUUGGGACUGAGACACGGCCCAAACUCCUACGGGAGGCAGCAGUAGGGAAUCUUCCACAAUGGACGCAAGUCUGAUGGAGCAACGCCGCGUGAGUGAAGAAGGCUUUCGGGUCGUAAAACUCUGUUGUUGGAGAAGAAUGGUCGGCAGAGUAACUGUUGUCGGCGUGACGGUAUCCAACCAGAAAGCCACGGCUAACUACGUGCCAGCAGCCGCGGUAAUACGUAGGUGGCAAGCGUUAUCCGGAUUUAUUGGGCGUAAAGCGAGCGCAGGCGGUUUUUUAAGUCUGAUGUGAAAGCCCUCGGCUUAACCGAGGAAGCGCAUCGGAAACUGGGAAACUUGAGUGCAGAAGAGGACAGUGGAACUCCAUGUGUAGCGGUGAAAUGCGUAGAUAUAUGGAAGAACACCAGUGGCGAAGGCGGCUGUCUGGUCUGUAACUGACGCUGAGGCUCGAAAGCAUGGGUAGCGAACAGGAUUAGAUACCCUGGUAGUCCAUGCCGUAAACGAUGAAUGCUACGUGUUGGAGGGUUUCCGCCCUUCAGUGCCGCAGCUAACGCAUUAAGCAUUCCGCCUGGGGAGUACGACCGCAAGGUUGAAACUCAAAGGAAUUGACGGGGGCCCGCACAAGCGGUGGAGCAUGUGGUUUAAUUCGAAGCAACGCGAAGAACCUUACCAGGUCUUGACAUCUUUUGAUCACCUGAGAGAUCAGGUUUCCCCUUCGGGGGCAAAAUGACAGGUGGUGCAUGGUUGUCGUCAGCUCGUGUCGUGAGAUGUUGGGUUAAGUCCCGCAACGAGCGCAACCCUUAUGACUAGUUGCCAGCAUUUAGUUGGGCACUCUAGUAAGACUGCCGGUGACAAACCGGAGGAAGGUGGGGAUGACGUCAAAUCAUCAUGCCCCUUAUGACCUGGGCUACACACGUGCUACAAUGGAUGGUACAACGAGUUGCGAGACCGCGAGGUCAAGCUAAUCUCUUAAAGCCAUUCUCAGUUCGGACUGUAGGCUGCAACUCGCCUACACGAAGUCGGAAUCGCUAGUAAUCGCGGAUCAGCACGCCGCGGUGAAUACGUUCCCGGGCCUUGUACACACCGCCCGUCACACCAUGAGAGUUUGUAACACCCGAAGCCGGUGGCGUAACCCUUUUAGGUAGCGAGCCGUCUAAGGUGG
rnacentral:rRNA from 1 species